rnacentral:tRNA from 1 species
GCCGCCGUAAGCAUAGAGGUAAUGCCGUGGUCUUGAAAACCAUUCGCCUUAUGGGCGCGGGGGUUCGAUUCCCUCCGGCGGCG